UACGGGGGGGGCAAGCGUUGUUCGGAAUUACUGGGCGUAAAGGGCUCGUAGGCGGCCAACUAAGUCAGACGUGAAAUCCCUCGGCUUAACCGGGGAACUGCGUCUGAUACUGGAUGGCUUGAGGUUGGGAGAGGGAUGCGGAAUUCCAGGUGUAGCGGUGAAAUUCGUAGAUAUUGGGAAGAACACCGGUGGCGAAGGCGGCUCACUGGCCCGAAACUGACGCUCAUGCACGACAGCGUGGGGAUCAAACAGG
rnacentral:rRNA from 1 species